AUUCCUUGUUGUUAUUACAUGCCGGAGUGUUAUUAAACCCAGACUGAAUUUAUUGUUGUCAGCAAUGACAAAAUCUGACAUCUGUUUAUCAGACAUGAGAUAAUGAAUACUCUAAAUGUAAUAAAAUAUCUCAUAGCCAGGAUUUAGUUAUUAUUAAACUGGUCACAUUUUAGGACAAAUUAGCCCAUCAGGAAAAAUUCCCUAGCUCAACUAUUUUGGCCUAAAAUGUGCAUUUAUCCCC